rnacentral:misc_RNA from 1 species
CGAAAGGAGUAUUCCGUACUCUUCAACCCUUUGUGAACUUACCUAUUGUCAGUUGCUUCGGCGGGAGGCCCCUGGGAGGGGCCCCGGGGCCCGGUCCUGAGCCGGGCUCCCGCCGGAGGAGCGCAACCAAAACUCUUGCUGUACCUCAGUGGCACCUCCGAGUAAAAAAACAAAAACAAGUUA